rnacentral:miRNA from 14 species
GGACGCCCGGUUAAAUUCGAAUUUGGGAUAAACAACAAACACAUUUUAAUGUAAGUAUGCCCCAUGCAAUAUUUGGGACAUACUUACACUAAAAAUUUUUGUUGUGUGUCAGAAAUGCAUAUUUAACUG